rnacentral:lncRNA from 1 species
UUUUUUUUCGUAAAAAGAUUACGUCGUCGGCUACGGCAAGUGCAGAGGACGAUGCACAGAUCCUCGGACAUCUUUCAUCUGAAAUUGAGCCUAGCGGAGCAAUGGCUGCUACAACUCAUUAACAACAUAACUGACAACUAACCCACCAUAUCCUGAUAUCGUUUCCGGUGACAUGAAAGACGACGUGAAAAAAAAUCUAAUCUAUAAUAGAGUGUGAUCAUUCCUAGGCUUAUCGGUAAAUUCCAGUUUCUAUCUAGGUCCACAUAUUAAUUUUAUUUUCAAUAAAAGAACAAAGUUCAUAUGUCCCCUGCAUUGCACAUAUUUUAUUUAACCAAGGAACAAGGGC